rnacentral:sRNA from 1 species
ACAUAUAAAUAAUUGCCGAAGACAGUAGGUGCCGCAAUGGCAUAAGGAGAACCCGCCUACCGAGGAAUGAUGUUAUUCAAGCAUUAUGCUAGAUUAAUUGAUAAAGCCUCCUGUCUUUUGCAGGAGGCUUUUUUU